UACAGAGGGUGCGAGCGUUAAUCGGAAUCACUGGGCGUAAAGGGCGCGUAGGCGGCUUUAUAAGUCGGGGGUGAAAGCCUGUGGCUCAACCACAGAAUUGCCUUCGAUACUGUAGAGCUUGAGACCGGAAGAGGUAAGUGGAACUGCGAGUGUAGAGGUGAAAUUCGUAGAUAUUCGCAAGAACACCAGUGGCGAAGGCGGCUUACUGGUCCGGUUCUGACGCUGAGGCGCGAAAGCGUGGGGAGCAAACAGG
rnacentral:rRNA from 1 species